CGCGCUCCCUACAAUUAUCAAUAAUUGAGCAUGUGGCCAUCACAAGGAUGAUGUAACACCAGCAGUUACGGGACUUAGUCGAUAACUGCCAACAAGGUGU
rnacentral:sRNA from 12 species